rnacentral:lncRNA from 1 species
ACAACAUAGAAUAUGUAAGAAUUACUAGAAAACAAUUAAUUGAAAGAAUUCAGUACUACUGAAUUCUUUCAAUUAAAAAUUUGUAAACAGCAUCUAUUUAGCAAUGGAAAAAUAUUCAAGCAAGUGCUGGAAAAAAUUGCACAGUAUUAUCUAUCUUAGUUCUUGUUUUCUAAAUAUACAAAGAAACAAAUGAUAAUACUAAAUAAAUGUUUUUUAAUUUUAUUAACAAAAUUACACAAAAGUAGUACAUUCAUUCUCAAAUCAAAUAAAGCAUCACUGACAACAAAGAGAAAAAGAAUAUAGCAUGCGUAUUCUUCUCUCCUCUUUGCUAUCAGUCAUAUUUCAUUUUGCUUCAUUGCACAAUCUGAUGAUGAUCUCUAGGAUUUGAGAUUGAAAGGCAAGCAUACUCACACUUAUGACAAUUAAAUUUCAGACCAUUUUUGUAAAGCAAAUUGCAAUGUUUUUUUCAUUUGUUAGUGCAUAUAAAAGCCUAAAAACAUAGUGUAACUAUCAUUCAAUGAGUGCCAAUUAUACUAAACCAAAAACAAACUCAGCUGAAUGGCUGCAUGGUAAAGCAUUCACUUACCACUUCAGAGGAUCUGGAUUUGAUUCAAAGUCUCAGUCUUGCAGUUUUCCAGAAUUGAAAAGUGCCAUAUUAAAGAAGUACUGUAAAAAGAAAUAUGCAUGUACUUGCUUUGUAUAUAAUUUGUUAAUAUUUUACACAAUUAAAACUUGUUUAUUUAGUAUUAUUAUUUGUUGAAUUUUUAUUUGUGUAUUUAUUCAAUCACAAUGAGCACAACCAAAUAGUGGGGAGUUUUCUGGAGUGAUUUGAAGCUUUUUAUUAAUAAGUUGUUACACUGACAAUAAUCAUGGGACAAACAGAUUUAUAACAAAGCUCUACAAUGCUAAUAGAUCAAACCAAUUGCCUAGCACUGGGAAUCAAGGAAACAAGAAUCAUUCAGACAAGAUUCUGUUCAGUUAAAUUCCUUUAUUACUCAUUUGUAACUUAUAAUGAGAGAAGAUCAAUUGAUUUGCUAUUUUUUCAUCACUGCACUUAUUAUGAAGUAAAUUUUAGUUGCAUGUCCAUAUUUAUUAUGAAAUCAUCAUGGUAUUUUAAUUGUUCAGUUUUUACUGGAAAUAAUUUUUAGUUAAAUAAAAUAUAUUAUUUAAAGUCCUACUAACAUUUUUAGUUUUUUAUACUAUUUUUAGGAAUUAAUUUUAUAUAGUUACAUCUUUAGAUGGAUUUGUUGCUGUUCUUUUGUUGUAAAAACAAAAUUAAACAUAAUGUUUUUAAAUGUUAUAUAUUAAAUAUUUGCCAGUUUUGUUUAAUUUUUAUUUUAUUUGGCAUAGUUUAGCCCAUGUCAUCCUGUAUCACAAAACAAAUAAAAUACAAAACUGUUCAUUAUGACCAUAGUUAACUGACUGACAAUUAAUGGACUUUAAAGUACAAUGAGUUAAUAGUUAAUAUUUAUCAAAAAAGCUUGAGUAGCUUGAACUUUCCCAAGCUUUUCCUUAGU